rnacentral:rRNA from 1 species
UACGUAGGGUGCAAGCGUUAAUCGGAAUUACUGGGCGUAAAGCGUGCGCAGGCUGUUCUGUAAGUCAGAUGUGAAAUCCCCGAGCUCAACUUGGGAACUGCGUUUGAAACUACAAGACUAGAAUAUGUCAGAGGGGGGUAGAAUUCCACGUGUAGCAGUGAAAUGCGUAGAGAUGUGGAGGAAUACCAAUGGCGAAGGCAGCCCCCUGGGAUAAUAUUGACGCUCAUGCACGAAAGCGUGGGGAGCAAACAGG